rnacentral:rRNA from 1 species
CCUAGGGGGGCUGCAGUGAGGAAUAUUGGUCAAUGGGCGGAAGCCUGAACCAGCCAAGUCGCGUGAGGGAAUAAGGCCCUACGGGUCGUAAACCUCUUUUGCCGGGGAGCAAGGGCCGGGACGCGUCCCGGCCCGGAGAGUACCCGGAGAAAAAGCAUCGGCUAACUCCGUGCCAGCAGCCGCGGUAAUACGGAGGAUCCGAGCGUUAUCCGGAUUUAUUGGGUUUAAAGGGAGCGUAGAUGGGUUGUUAAGUCAGUUGUGAAAGUUUGCGGCUCAACCGUAAAAUUGCAAUUGAUACUGGCAGUCUUGAGUACAGUUGAGGUAGGCGGAAUUCGUGGUGUAGCGGUGAAAUGCUUAGAGAUCACGAAGAACCCCGAUUGCGAAGGCAGCUUACUAAACUGUGACUGACAUUGAUGCUCGAAAGUGUGGGUAUCGAACAGGAUUAGAUACCCGUGUAGUC